rnacentral:rRNA from 1 species
UACAGAGGUCUCAAGCGUUGUUCGGAAUCACUGGGCGUAAAGGGUGCGUAGGCCGCCCGGUAAGUCAGAGGUGAAAUCCCGGAGCUCAACUCCGGAAUGGCCUCCGAUACUGCCGUGCUCGAGGACUGGAGAGGAGUCUGGAAUUCACAGUGGAGCAGUGAAAUGCGUAGAUAUUGUGAGGAACACUAGUGGCGAAGGCGAGACUCUGGACAGUUCCUGACGCUGAGGCACGAAGGCCAGGGGGGCAAACGGG